rnacentral:tRNA from 1 species
AAGGGAGACCUAAUUCGGGUAUAAGACGAAAAAAUAGUAGUCGAAACCAGGAAUCAAUCCCAAAAGGUCGGAACGGAGCGAAAUUGGCUUUCAAACUAGGUUCUGGGUUCACACAAGACCUGAAUCAGGAACAAGGGCUAUUAGCUCAGGUGGUUAGAGCGCACCCCUGAUAAGGGUGAGGUCCCUGGUUCGAGUCCAGGAUGGCCCACCUGCACAGGUGGCAAAAACAAAAGAAGCGAGGAAUCAGCACCUUAUCUUACCUAUAUAGUAAGAGAGAAUGCUGGCUCUGAGUAAAGAGUCCAGAGGAACCUUGAAAACUGCAUAGAGCUAGGUGAAAAAGCCAAAAAAGAAGACCGCAA